GAUUGAAAUCAGCAAUUUUUCUCAUUUUUAACUUAGACAAAAUUUCCAGCUUUCUAGGCUUUUCUCUCUUGUUCUCUCUUGGCUAUGAAACAACCCUAUAAUUCCACAAGGGUUCUUGGGAUUGACCUUCCUUCCAAGAUAAAGAUAAGUAAUCUAAAAGUGCGGGAAGUCGAGUUUGGCUAGUAUUGGAGUUUUACAACCAGGUACAGGUGCUUUGGCAAACACACCUCCUCAGUAGGAGCCCAUGAUAUCCAUCUGCUAUUGGUGAGCUCCAGUUUGCUUCGGGACUUUCCGAGUCGGUUCCAUAUAUUUUUGGUAUUGUAUAAAAGUUAAUAGUAUGGCGGGGGUUUGUCCCGACCUUAGCUAAAUUUUGUGUAUCGUCUAAAGGCUUUGUAGACCAAUGUAAAGUUUAGCAUGGUAGUGUGUUAUCUUGUAGAUGUUAUGGCCCCAACGGCCAAGUCUAUUAUGUAUAUAGUUUUAGGGCUUGUCGUUUAUAUUUAUUUUUCAUUAAGGCAUUA